rnacentral:rRNA from 1 species
AGAGUUUGAUCCUGGCUCAGGACGAACGCUGGCGGCGCGCCUAACACAUGCAAGUCGAACGAGCGAGAGAGAGCUUGCUUUCUCGAGCGAGUGGCGAACGGGUGAGUAACGCGUGAGGAACCUGCCUCAAAGAGGGGGACAACAGUUGGAAACGACUGCUAAUACCGCAUAAGCCCACGACCCGGCAUCGGGUAGAGGGAAAAGGAGCAAUCCGCUUUGAGAUGGCCUCGCGUCCGAUUAGCUAGUUGGUGAGGUAAUGGCCCACCAAGGCGACGAUCGGUAGCCGGACUGAGAGGUUGAACGGCCACAUUGGGACUGAGACACGGCCCAGACUCCUACGGGAGGCAGCAGUGGGGAAUAUUGCACAAUGGGGGAAACCCUGAUGCAGCGACGCCGCGUGGAGGAAGAAGGUCUUCGGAUUGUAAACUCCUGUUGUUGAGGAAGAUAAUGACGGUACUCAACAAGGAAGUGACGGCUAACUACGUGCCAGCAGCCGCGGUAAAACGUAGGUCACAAGCGUUGUCCGGAAUUACUGGGUGUAAAGGGAGCGCAGGCGGGAAGACAAGUUGGAAGUGAAAUCCAUGGGCUCAACCCAUGAACUGCUUUCAAAACUGUUUUUCUUGAGUAGUGCAGAGGUAGGCGGAAUUCCCGGUGUAGCGGUGGAAUGCGUAGAUAUCGGGAGGAACACCAGUGGCGAAGGCGGCCUACUGGGCACCAACUGACGCUGAGGCUCGAAAGUGUGGGUAGCAAACAGGAUUAGAUACCCUGGUAGUCCACACUGUAAACGAUGAUUACUAGGUGUUGGAGGAUUGACCCCUUCAGUGCCGCAGUUAACACAAUAAGUAAUCCACCUGGGGAGUACGACCGCAAGGUUGAAACUCAAAGGAAUUGACGGGGGCCCGCACAAGCAGUGGAGUAUGUGGUUUAAUUCGACGCAACGCGAAGAACCUUACCAAGUCUUGACAUCCUGCGACGGACAUAGAAAUAUGUUUUUCCUUCGGGACGCAGAGACAGGUGGUGCAGGGUUGCCUCACCUCCGGCCGGGAAAGUUGGGUUAAUCCCGCACCAGCGCACCCUUAUGGUCGUUUCUACCCAAGAGGACUCUGGCCAACUGGCCUUGCAAAACAGAGGAGGGGGGGGAGGAGGCCAAACACACCGCCCUUUAUAAUUGGGUGACCCCGUUACCAAAGGCGUUAAAAAAGAAGAAAAACCCGAGGGGGGACAAACUCAAAAACAACGUCCCAGUUCGGACUGCAGGCUGCAACUCGCCUGCACGAAGUCGGAAUUGCUAGUAAUCGCAGAUCAGCAUGCUGCGGUGAAUACGUUCCCGGGCCUUGCACACACCGCCCGUC